CUUCUAUGACCCGUAAGCACUUUUAACUCUCCUUCCACAAGCAGCCAAAGACUUGUCAUUGAAAUGUUUUUGACCUAAAACAAGCUAAAGGCAUUUCUAACUAUAAAAAUUGUUCGAUGUCUUUAUAACAAAAACACAGUAGAAGCGCUUAUAAACAUAAGAUUUUUCUAGAAAAGCAAUCCUAAAUGGCUCGCACAAUCAAAAACGUUUUUUUUAUUGUCUAAAACGCUUUUAAUUCUUUUCGAAACAAUCACAAUCCAAAACAUGCCCUCCUCAUAUUAUGAAAAUUUUGCACAUUCUAAACUACCCUAUUCCGAUAUGCCAGUGCCCAAAUUGUCUUUAAACAUUCUUGAAGCGUUUUUUUCAUCAGUCAUCACUUACCGCAGCAGCAGCCGCAGACAUUUCUCCAUCUUGAAGAACAACUCUUGUGUAAAUUUUCCUUUUAAAGUUCGACGGUUGCCAUUGCUUAAGCUUCCUCGUAACAUUUGCUCACUUGUUCUUGGAUGGGUUGCUUCACUCUUUCAAUCUAGAUACCUUCAUUUCUCCUGAAGAAGCUGUUAAUAUACUGUCCUGAGGAACAACAAGCAAGCCUUGUGUGAAUUUUCCUUUGAAGGUAUUGGCUUUUUACUCCAUAUCCAAAUCUACAUGUCCUUACUAUGAAUUUAUAUUUGUAUUUCGUCCUUUUUUUUAUUUGCUUUUCUCUGUUUACUCUUUGUGCUGGAUUCUUUGGUCCAUUUGCAUUCCUGAUGUUAAACCCGAAAUCCAUUGGGAAUUUGAGAAUUCAUACAAUUUGGGAUCAUUGAUACAACCUUUCAUGUAAAGAAAAAAAAAUUAAUAAAAUUGCAGCUUAGUCUAAACCUUUAUGGGAUUUAUUUCUUUGUGCGUGUUAGGAAAUUUUGCAUUUUCAUAUGUAAUUAUAAUUUCACAAAAAAAAAAAAAAAAAAAAGCAUGUAAAUAAUGCUAUCCAGCUGAAGAGGCAUAUAUAUUGUUAGAAUUUCAACUCUCCUCUGGAUCUUAUUCUUUGACAUAUUAGGUAAUGGACAAAACUUCACAGAUAGUGAAUAACUAGAAACA